GGUUUCUUUCCCAUAACAGUUGUUUGCUAUCAAAUUUUGGAUUAUUUUGAGUCUAGUGAGUUGAGAGUUUACCUGAAACAUUUUAAAGAACUGUUAUCCAUCAAAGUUACGCAAAUUAUCCAUGAUAGUGAUUUUCCCAUUUCAGGGAUGAGUUGCUUCUUCACAUGGUGGGAAGUCACAUCUAAUUGUGUAUUGCAAGUCGUGAAAAGAUGUGAAAACCUGUACUUGUCUUGCAUGUUUGUGUGUUUGAUCUAUCUUGUCUGGUUACCAUGAGAAACUCAUAAUGAUCAUGAAUAUUUUCUAUAUGCCGUGCAAAGGAGAUGACCUGCUUCAGUUCCUUCUGGAUUAUAUGUUGCUCCUGAUCUUGUUCUGUAGGUAAAUGUUUCACCCUACAUGA
rnacentral:misc_RNA from 1 species